AAACAUUACUAUAGGAAGCAGUUCUGCUUUGGAGGCCUGCCCUGCAAGUUCCACUGCCAGAUCUCUAAAACUGUUUUAUUCCAGGCCAGUAUUGCAUACACAUGGGAGGCAGGAAGAAUUAACUGAACUUUGAAAUGAGAAGAAGUGUAGAGUAACAUAUGUGAAAAAUAUUUGUCAUUUGCGUAAACAGUGCAAAAUGGCCUGUUAACAGAAUAUUUUUUUCAGGGCUGUGACUGAAUGAAAUGUGGUUAUCCAUGUGUUGUGGCCCCAAACAAACUUCACUUGCCACACAUCCUAUUAUUCUUUUAAGAAGCACAGGGCUGGGUUCAACUAACUGGUUCCACCAGUAGAAGCCCGCACAAGCACAUCCUCUAGAACAAAAGGACUUUCCCCAAUCUCCUCCCACUGUGUGCUCCCUCACCCAAAUUAGGUUGGAGGGUUGGAAGAACCCUCAGAGCAUCAUAGAGAAGAAGGUAGAUUGUUCCAUCAGGCAAACAAAUGCUUGCACUGAUAGAGCAAUCUGCUUAGCAUUAUGUUUAAUUCUCCCACAGACUUGACUGCUAAUAAUGCAUUUAGCUUCCCAUCUAGUUUCGCCCUCAGGGAGCUAUCCAACCUGCGCCAGUCUUGGCUAGCUCCUCAAGAGUACUGAAUAAGCCUCAAACCAAGCCACACCAUUGCCUGUGUAGCACAUUAUUAAGUGUGUUCUCGGUUCAUUCAUGGAAUCAGCAGGAGUGAUACAAUUUGGUUAGCUUAAUCAGGAAAACUUCUCUUUUAAUAUUUGGAAAGUUCCAAUUACUCAAUUUGUCACUUGGCUUUUACACAAAUGUGUCACAAUCUCAUUAAAUUUCUGCCACUGGACUUUAUUGCUUUAAUAAUCUGUUGUAAUAUUUAUGAAAUGCUUUGAUGGAUCUUAUUGGAGCCAUCAUGUUAUCCAUCACAAAAUACAUUAUAUUACAAAACAAUAAAUCAAUCACUUUGAAAAAGGCUAAAACAAUGAAACUAAAAUUUGAGAUGCAUAUAUCAUUAAUAGGAAAAAGAUUUUAGCUGGCUUGCAAUGAAGGUUUUUUUUCUUUUUCUUUUGGUUCCUGAUGCCAAUCUAACACCUGUUGUUGUCAUAAAAAGCAAUCAAACUUUCUUUGUCUUUACAAAUACCUGUUUUUCAAAGCCAUAAAAUUAUGUGAUAUAAGACUACUCAGGAAGGGAUAAAUAGAAUUAAUUGUUAUUUGGUUAAAGCUAUGUUCCAUCUUUCUUCCAUCAUAGAACUCAAAAGCAGCACAAACAGAGUUUACUAGACUGCCUGCCAUCAAGAUAUUAGCAGAUCCACACCUGCUUAUUUUCAGCAAACCUGCUGCAUUCAGAUCGCACUCAUAAAUAUAUUUCCCCCACCCUAUCUACACCUUGGGAAUGACGUCAACUGGC